rnacentral:tRNA from 1 species
UAGACAGAAGCCUGUAAGGUUUAGGCACUUGGCUGUUAACCAUGAUGUUAUGGGAUCGAGGCCCAUCUGUCUAG